GUCCAUUCAGCUGCUCUAAAAUGUGAGCUCCAAAUCAGGGACCAUGUCUGGUUGGUUACCCAUUUCCUGGGACCUAGAACGGGCCUAGCUCAGAGCAGGUGCUCACUAUUGAUGGAAUGCAUGUUGAAAGAAUGCAUGAAUCUCAUCUCCUUUUGUGGGUGAAAAUCUCAUCCUAUUCUCACUCCUGAUUAACUUUCUUUCUUUUUUUUUUUUCAAAACGGAGCCCUGAUCUGUCACCCAGGCUGGAGUGCAAUGGUGCCAUCUCAGCUCGCUGCAACCUCUGCCUUCUGGAUUAAAGCAAUUCUCCUGCCUCAGCCUCCCGGGUAGCUGGGAUUACAGGGGAGUCCUUGAGCAGAAGGAAGCAAGUUGCCUGAGAUUCUUCAAAGCCCGCAGCCCUUUUGGAGGUAGAAGUUGCUGGUCCCAUCUUGCUCACAAUCCUCCAAAGUUUGAAAGUUAUUUUCCAGGAGACUUGGCUUGCACUGAGAGCUGCCCUCCCACCCUCUCUCCAAAUUUCCUCUUGGGGGUAGCCUAACAAGGUGCUGUCACAGACCCUUGUCGGCCACGAUGACCCCACCCAGACCAUCCCUCUGCUGUUUCACUCUUUGAUAGUCUCUGGAGCUCUCUGGGGAGGGGU
rnacentral:lncRNA from 1 species